rnacentral:lncRNA from 1 species
AGCACUCCCUCAACAUAAGGAUAUGAGGAGAUCACAUUCUCCUAUCUCUCCUUUGAGUGUGAGGGACUCUGUUGGGUCCUGCAUACGAAUGGAACCACUGAUGCCAGCUGGUCUGAAGGACCCCACAGGAGCUGACUCACCGAAGAACACAGCUUGUACACCCUGAUGGUUUCAUCCUCCUUAUCCUGACCAAUCAACAACCUCAAUCUUCUAUCCCUCACCCUCCACAAUCUCCUUAAAAACCCCAGCUCAGAACUCCUCCGGAAGAUGGGUUUGGGGGUCUCCACUCAUCCCUUGCUCCAUCCCUGUGAUCAUUAAACUCUUUCUCUGCUACAAA